AUUGAACGCUGGCGGCAGGCCUAACACAUGCAAGUCGAACGGGUGGAGGACGGGUGAGUAAUUUCUGGGAAACUGCCUGAUGGAGGGGGCUAACUACUGGAAACGGUAGAUACUACCGCAUACCAUCAGAUGUGCCCAGAGGGGAUUAGCUUGUUGGUGGGGUAACGGCUAACCAAGGCGACGAGCCCUAGCUGGUCUGCGAGGAUGACCAGCCACACUGGAACUGGGACACGGGCCAGAAUCCUACGGGAGGCAGGAGUGGGGAAUAUUGCACAAUGGGCGCAAGCCUGAUGCAGCAAUGCCGCGUGUAUGAAGAAGGCCUUCGGGUUGUAAAGUACUGUCAGCGGGGAGGCGUUACCCGCAGAAGAAGCACCGGCUAACUCCGUGCCAGCAGCCGCGGUAAUUC
rnacentral:rRNA from 1 species